AUUGAACGCUGGCGGCAGGCCUAACACAUGCAAGUCGAACGCGUGGCGGACGGGUGAGUAAUGUCUGGGAAUCUGCCUGAUGGAGGGGGAUCACUACUGGAAACGGUAGCUAAUACCGCAUACCAUCAGAUGUGCCCAGAUGGGAUUAGCUAGGAGGUGGGGUAAUGGCUCACCUAGGCGACGAUCCCUAGCUGGUCUGAGAGGAUGACCAGCCACACUGGAACUGAGACACGGUCCAGACUCCUACGGGAGGCAGCAGUGGGGAAUAUUGGACAAUGGGCGCAAGCCUGAUGCAGCAAUGCCGCGUGUGUGAAGAAGGCCUUCGGGUUGUAAAGCACUUUCAGCGAGGAGGCGUUACUCACAGAAGAAGCACCGGCUAACUCCGUGCCAGCAGCCGCGGUAAUAC
rnacentral:rRNA from 1 species